AAUGUUUAUGAAAAAAUUAUAAAGAAGAAAUAAAUAAAACAUAAUCAAAAACUGUGUUCUGAGUGUAAAAAUUCAGCGUUGCUAGGUGGGGGUUCGAAUCAUUAAUGUCAGACUUUUGUACUCUUGCUCUAACUGACUUAGCUACCUGGUCAACAGAAUUGUCCGGGUCCAAAUGUCCAACAUGAAAUUAAGAGGAGGUUACUGUAUAUAAAAAAUAAUAUAUACAGUGCAGUGGGUCAGGGAUCCUUAAGUGAAUUACACUUAAUUGAACUAGUUCCUGAUUAAAAACCAAUAUAAAAUAUAGGUGUUAGUUGUACAAUAGUUUGAUUCCACAUAAUGUCAAUAAAUAGCUGUAUAUUAAUUUUGUGAAGCAUAUUACUUAGUGUUUUACAAUGUUGAUAUAUAUAUAUAUUGAAAACUAAUUGCAAAGGUGAAAUAUAGAUACUGGUUAAUUCUCAAUCCCAUAAAAAUACAACAUUUCUAUAUUUUGCAUACACAAAUUUUGGUUUAAUUGUCAUAGCAUUUGUAUUUUCAAACAAACAAACAUUAGAAGAAAUGAAAAUUCAUGAAAACUAUGAAUUUCCAUCUAAUUUAGUAACUGCCUACUACUUGCAUGGCAUCUAAAAGCUGAUUUCCCUACAUUGGCUGUACAUUGUACCUCGGUAUAAACCCUACAGCUAACGUUGUUUUCGUCUUGGUUUAGUGAGCAUUAUGGUCUGUGUAUAGGAGCUACAGUUAUGUAAAAGUCUGUUUCAAUGUAAUAGUGGUAGAUGAUUAGAAAAUGCUAUGUAUGAUUUAUGCAUUUUUUUUAGCUAUUUGAUGAGAUGAGGUUCUUGUGCUAAGUACUGUGGUGUAAGGCAGAAUUUUAUACCAUGUACUUCCUGCAAUUAAUAUGGCUGGAUAUUGUACUGAUGAAAGCCUGACUGCUGGCCAAGUUCCAAAAUAGGACUUCGUGUUAACACUGGCCAAGGUCAAUAGCAGCUGGCCAAGGUCAAAGACAGGGCUUUGUGAUAGCACUGGCCAAGGUCAAAGACAGGACUUUGUGUAAGUACUGGCCAAGGUCAACAGCAGAAGGUCAAAGGCAGGACUUUGUGUUAGCACUUGCCAAGGUCAACAGCUGCUGGCCAAGGUCAAAGGCAGGACUUGGUGUUAGCACUGGCCAAGGUCAAAGACAGGACUUUGUGUUAGCACUAGCAAGGUCAACAGCAGCUGGCCAAGGUUAAAGGCAGGACUUUGUGUUAGCACUGGCCAAGAUCAAAGGCAGGACAUUGUGCUAAGUACUGGCAAAGGUCAGAGGCAGAACUUUGUGCUAUUUACUGGACAAGGCUCACUGUAAUAAUUUGUGCUAAGCACUGGCCUGGGUCAAAGACAAGAGGUUCUGUUAAGCGCUGGCCAAGUUUCAAUUCAGGACAUUGUACUACCUAAGUACUGGCCACAGUCAAAGUCAGUUCUUUGUGCGAAGAACUGGCUAAGGUUCAAGGCAUGACUUUGUGCUAAAUACGCCGCAAGGUCCGAAAUAGGACACUGUUCUAAGCACUGACUGACACUUUGCUCAGUACUGGCUAAUGUUUUAGACAGGACUUUCUGCUAAAUAUGGGCAAAGGUCCAAAACAGGCAUUUGAAGUAAGCUAUGCUUAGCACCACAGAGUUUGAGUAUUUAGGGAAGGUCUAAAUGGUACAAGACUUAUGGUUGAAACAAGAAUCUUUUUCUUAUCAGAUUGUAUUUUUAUAAUGUUAUUGUUAAUAAUCUGUAUCUACAAUGUUUGUAAGUAUGUAGUUAUAAUCCAUUUUAGAGCUUAUCUACACCAUCUUUUUAUGUAUAGUAUUUUUGAUCUGGUAAAUUCCUAAUAUAAUGUUUCCCAGUUUGUCUGAUUGAAGGCCUGGCUCUUAAAUUACAUUUGUUUACAAAACUGAAACAGUCAUUUAACCCAUUCACCCCUAAAGUCACAUUUGAACCUUACCGAAUCAAAAUUUUGGCCAGUCCAGUUUAAAUAUGUAGGGGUGAAUGAGCUUAAUUCUCAUGUACUUUUGUAUAUUAACACCGACCAUUGUAUCUCCUCCUCCACCGAAACACCUUUCCAUAAACAAAGUCUGGAUAUAGUAUUCAUUGUUAUUUAUUACAUGUAUACCUGCUUACAGAUCUUACUUGAUUUUACACCUUACAUUUUCGUCUUAAUGUCCUAAAUGCUAUUUGCCUUUCUUAUGCUCUAUUAGAAAUGUUGAAAGAUUCUGUUUCUUAUUUCAUGAGAGGUUUUUGUAUGAAUUGCCAUUAAAUAUUUUAAGCAGUUAGAAAGACUAGAUGGGAGGACUUUCAUUUUUUAAACCAACCCGAAAAAACCCAUUUUUGUUGGAAUACACACUGCAUGACACAAUAUGAACAAUUGUUAUUGCUAUACUGUUUUUAAAAAGAAACAUCACAUUUUAAAAUGUUUAGUAUUUAUUGGCCUGAAAUGCAAAAAAUAUAGUUGGGAUUAAACUUCAUUUAUAAUAAUUGUUUGGAAAAAUAGGUUUGUUUUAGUUUGAUUUAAUUUGAAAGACACUGCUUUUUUUCUUUUUCCACUCAACAUACUUGUUAAAAUGCGUAGUAAUCCUACCAAGGUCUAUGAUGAUGUACCACCCAAACUGCUACAAGGGUACAAACAAGUUAAACAAUAUUAUUACCGUUGUUUGUUUAAGACCUUUUCAAAAGAAGUAUUCCAUAAAAUUCAUAUGUUGCUAUGAGUUUACAGAAUUAUAUUUGUUAGAAAUGUGAAUAUUUGAAAAGAAGAAAUUGAGAAAAAAAAAGAAAAAAAAGCAACAUGAGGACCUGUACAAAACAGAUCUUGUGUAAUAUCAAUCGUGCCAUCUUGUCAUAUAAAUUAAAAAUUAGUGUUCAUUUUAUGGGUCACGAUUCUGCAAAGCUUAUGAAAAGCCUGACAGGGGAAGUUACUCUAAGCCAGAAAAAUCCUUUUGGCUGUUUCGUCUUUUAAACUAAGGGAGGAUAUUCCAGGUCAAAAAAUCGUUUGAGUGGAACUGAUGCAGUGGUACUAUUUACCUUAAGUCUACUACUGGAGAGUAACACGAACCAUUAUUCUCUAUCUACUAAAAUCAAAUUUGAUAUACAGUGUUAACCCUUUCUCCCCUAUGUAACUUUAGUAAACUCUACUAUUUAUUGAUCUGGAUGAGUCCAUUAUGGUCUACAGUGGUGAAAGGGCUAAGAGAUGGCGUACUUGCCUUCUGUAGUGCUGUUGAUACCGGUGGUCGGCCUAGUUUGUAACUCUGUAUACUCGCCCCAGCUGUAUCAGUGUGACGGCCAGUAUUGUUCUUCGGAAUAGCUGACCAGUAUGUUAUCUGGGCUUACAAAUGUACAGAUGUAAAAUGUCAUAAUUUGUAUGGAAUUGGAAGGGUAAUAAAACUGAGAAGAAAUUU